AUUGAACGCUGGCGGCAUGCCUUACACAUGCAAGUCGAACGGUAACAGGUUAAGCUGACGAGUGGCGAACGGGUGAGUAAUGUGUCGGAACGUGCCUAGUCGUGGGGGAUAACGUAGCGAAAGCUACGCUAAUACCGCAUACGAUCCAUGGAUGAAAGCGGGGGACCUUCGGGCCUCGCGCGAUUAGAGCGGCCGAUAUCAGAUUAGGUAGUUGGUGGGGUAAAGGCCCACCAAGCCGACGAUCUAUAGCUGGUCUGAGAGGAUGAUCAGCCACACUGGGACUGAGACACGGCCCAGACUCCUACGGGAGGCAGCAGUGGGGAAUUUUGGACAAUGGGCGCAAGCCUGAUCCAGCCAUUCCGCGUGCAGGACGAAGGCCUUCGGGUUGUAAACUGCUUUUGUACAGAACGAAAAGCCUUGGGUUAAUACCCUGAGGUCAUGACGGUACUGUAAGAAUAAGCACCGGCUAACUACGUG
rnacentral:rRNA from 1 species